rnacentral:rRNA from 1 species
UACGUAGGGGGCAAGCGUUGUCCGGAUUUAUUGGGCGUAAAGAGCGUGUAGGCGGCCAAACAGGUCAGCUGUGAAAACUCGAGGCUCAACCUCGAGACGUCGGUUGAAACCGUUUGGCUAGAGUCCGGAAGAGGAGAGUGGAAUUCCUGGUGUAGCGGUGAAAUGCGCAGAUAUCAGGAGGAACACCAAUGGCGAAGGCAGCUCACUGGGACGGUAUUGACGCUGAGACGCGAAAGCGUGGGGAGCAAACAGG